AUUGAACGCUGGCGGCAGGCCUAACACAUGCAAGUAGAACGAGUGGCGGACGGGUGAGUAAUGUCUGGGAAACUGCCCGAUGGAGGGGGAUAACUACUGGAAACGGUAGCUAAUACCGCAUACCAUCGGAUGUGCCCAGAUGGGAUUAGCUAGUAGGUGGGGUAACGGCCCACCUAGGCGACGAUCCCUAGCUGGUCUGAGAUGAUGACCAGCCCCACUGGAACUGUGACACGGUCCCUACUCCGACGGGAGGGAGCAGUGGGGAAUAGUGCCCAAUGGGGGCAAGCCUGAUGCAGCCCUGCCGGGUGUAUGAAGAAGGCCUUCGGUUUGUAAAGUACUUUCAGCGAGGAGGCGUUACUCGCAGAAGAAGCACCGGCUCACUCCGUGCCAGCAGCCGCGGUAAUUC
rnacentral:rRNA from 1 species